GGAUAUUCCCAAACAGCUGGAAGGAGCUGAUAUAUGGUGCUGCGCCCUCGUGUUGGGCCCUCCCCAAAAUGGACCGGUGCUAAGUGGUAACCUGGUUAUUUUCAGCGCGUCACUGGCUCGUCUCCAAUUAUAGGUUUCGGUUGGGGGCGCAGCAGCGUGGCCCCAUAUUUCCAAUUAUUCUGAAAGAGCACUACAUUGAGUAAUGUCCGAGCAUGUGUGUUUGCCUGUAACUGCACACAUUCCUGCAGUGUGUUGGCUCGUCCGUCCACAUGCGCCACACAGGCCCGUGCGGCGCUCAGCUGCGUCUCGGGCGACUCCGAGGCGGCUCGUCUGCGGUUCUCUCAAGGUGUUCCCCUCUUUUAUCGAUGCUGUUCAGGAGGCUAUAUACAUCCCAGGUUCAUCACACCUCUCCUGUUUCCUCCCUGACCAGCAACAUGUUAGUGUGCUGCGACGCCUGGUGGCGGUGACGUGACACGACACCUCAUUACAUGCAUGUGCCAAACAAGCUUUACUGUUUUAUUCAGAUCACUGAGUGUGAUCACGUGCAGCUGCACAUCAGGGCCAAUAGCAGCUGGAUUCUGCUGGACAAAUUUAAUCAGUGGCGUCAUUUUAGAUUUUCUAUUAAGUCAGCAAAGUGUAAUGUUUUGUUUUAUGUUAUGUUAUGUGUUAUUCUUUAUGCUAUUUUGCAUUUUCUUUUGUUAUUUUGGCAUUUUGAAAAAACAUUUUUUUCUUCUGUUAGUUUCUAUUCUGUUGUAAUCUACUGUGAUACUUUGCAUUCUGUUCUAUUCUGACAUGUUUCAUUCUAUUCUGUUCAGUUGGGUUCUAUUAUAUUACAUUCUCAUAUUUUCUAUUCUUUUCUAUUCUCUUCUAUUCUAUUGCCGGGGUCAUGCUCCACUUUUAGUGGCUGUGACGCUCCCAUCAGUCAGCUGCUUCAAUGUAGACAAGACGCUCACAAUAAUGCCGGAAAUUGAAUGAUUUUCUUAUCAAAAUAAAAUAAAAGAGUUGCUGCUUAGUCCUGAAGAACCCCUUAUUUUAUUUGAAUAGCAAUUUAAACCUUCUACGUGUUGUAUUUUGGCGUCACACUGGUUUCAUACAAAUUUCUAAGUGCUUGGGAAAUCUCUGUCACCCUAUAGAAGGGCGCAAUUGAUAUUAUGUUGAAGGCAUGUACCGGAAGCGAUGCGUGUGAUUUAGGCUGACUUGACGCCAAAUAGCAAUGUCCGACUUGGUUUCUAUCAGGAACUGCCCGACUUCUCUUAAACAAAAUUAUUCAUCACUUCAUUAACAGCAGGACGGAUGUUCAUCAUCAUCUGCACCCUCGCGUUAACAUCAGACACCCGGCGUGCAGUGGGGCCAGUAAGCACCGGAUGCGGCCAGCGCCCGGCUGCAGGCGGCCCUCUCAAUGGUCUCUCCCACCAUGAAAGCGGUGGUGGAUGCUGUAUGGGCGGUGUGGAGCAUCGGGGCCUCCAUCUAUGACUACAUCCACACCAACGCCAUGGAGGAGCGCAUCCACACCCUGGAGAAUGUCAUCACCAUCCACCAGUGUGUGAUUGGGCUGCUGUCUGCUGGCGUAUUGGUACUCUUCACCUACAUCCUCUUCAAGAAGCUCUGAAGAUGUGUGAAGGGGUGGGCCGGGGCUGACAUGCGAAAAGUGGACCGACCCGAUAUGGACGUUGGAGUUUAACGUGGUAAAGCAAACACUGAUCAGACAGACAAAGGGGAAUUUUACACUUCGGGUACAUUACAAAGGCUCAUAAGAGCUGCAGGGUAAAUGUAGUUUCCAUGGGAAGAAACUGUAAGGAGGAGAUGUAAUGGGACCUAACACAAUCUGGCACACUGUCGAGACACAGCCUCAUGAAAAAAACAAACUAUUAAUGAUCAAAGCAUGAGGUUUUAACUUUCUACUACUUUUUUUUCCCCAACAUCUCUGCAGUGCCACCUUUUUCAUAAAUCUAUCUUCGGGGAAAACAAUCUGAAGUUCAUGUGUUCUGUGAGUAAUAUAAUGGUUGUGUAGGAGGUGAGCAUGUGGGGCUACAAGGUCCAACUGUUUUUUAAAGGCUAGUGUAGAUAGUUUUUAUAGUGAUGACAUAUUUUAUGCACCAGUAUUCAGUAUCUUUACAUUUUCAUUUUAAAUAUAAGAUUUAACACUUCAUUUUAAUGGUUUAAACACCAACAGAAUUAAUUGUUCCCUCCCAAAACUUUAUUCCUAGCCAGGUUAAGCAUAAAUAAAAGCGUAUACAGCAUUAUACUUUUUCUGUUAACGUUUUGUUAUAUCCCACACCUGUUACAUCACUGUUGGCACGAGUGCUAUAUAAAAGACAACAUGAAGUGUCCUUAAAAACUGUAAAUAUGUUUUUGAUGUUUGUAGCAGUAUUUCUUUUAUCUGGCCAUUGAAAGUUUUCAUAGAUGUGCUACUACCCCAUAGUACUACUGCUGCUUAAUAUUUAUGGUUUUGUUUUUGUAACAUGUAACAGUGUAAGAUUUAAGAGAUGAUUCUAGGUACUGACUGCAAACACUGGAUCAACGUAUGGUAUGAAAUUAUAAGUGUCUUUUACAGGAUAAAGGACGUUUUUGUCACGUUAACUUAAUUUAACUUCACUUGCUGAGAGGACUGUUUAAAGAAGCGGUAAGUCAAUGGAAACUACUGCCAUAACAGUCCUGAGUUUAGAAAAAUAAGUGUAUGUGCUGUGUGUAUAUCUGUGUACAUUUGUAACUGUCCCAGAGGGAACAGAACAAGAGGAACACCUAAGGAUGAAACACUGUUUUAAUAUCAUUUUAACAGCAAGGUUGUUUUCUCAAAAUGCCAAAUAAAUGUGAAAUUCUUGCA